CACUCACUUAGGAUCCAUUCAAUUAUCCAUUUCAUGAACAAAGUACUAUUCAAAUACAAUAAAACAUGUUAUAACAGUCCCAAUGAAUUACAAGGUAGAGAGAGUUCAAAUGUAGUCCACAUUACACUAUUUUACAUGGUUGAACUCUAAAGUUUUACACAAAUUCAUUACUUCCACAUAAACUACUAAAACAUCUGUUACUUCAUAUCUAUGACAUUUGAGAAAGAGGUAGGAGAAAUAGACAGAAAAAAAAAAACUAAAAGAAAAACUUAAGUAAACACAUGAAAAUCGAUCUUCAAACACAAAUGAGGUUAUUUCAUUUCAAGCAGACCCCAUAUUUUCUAUACAUGAAAGCCAUAUUUACAUCUUCAGUUGCCAUUCAAUAGUUCAGAGGAAAUACCUGGAAAUUAAAAGGGGAACAAAAAGAGUGAAGAAUCAGCAAACAGCAGCAGCAGAAUCAGCUUUAACAAAAAACCAUCAGUACCAAACAAAUUCAACCUUUUCAAACCAGUAAAGACCCCAGAUGAACAACAAGCUUUGGAGUCUCAAAAACUCUGAUUAUCUAUGAGUUCUAGGGCAGAAUUUAACCAGUUUGGACCAAGAAAAUGCGGGAAUUUUCAGUAUUCUUUCAAAGUUUUCCAAAGACUCAGCCGUUUGUUUUUCUUAAUAUUUUUUA
rnacentral:lncRNA from 1 species